rnacentral:tRNA from 1 species
GCCUGACUGGCUCAGUCAGUAGAGCAGGAGUCUCUUGAUCUAGGGGUCAUGAGUUCAAGCCCCAUGUUGGACA